AUUGAACGCUGGCGGCAGGCCUAACACAUGCAAGUCGAGCGGAUGAAGGGAGCUUGCUCCUGGAUUCAGCGGCGGACGGGUGAGUAAUGCCUAGGAAUCUGCCUGGUAGUGGGGGAUAACGUCCGGAAACGGGCGCUAAUACCGCAUACGUCCUGCGGGCGAAAGCGGGGGAUCUUCGGACCUCACGCUAUCAGAUGAGCCCAGGUCGGAUUAGCUAGUUGGGUGGGUAAAGGCCUACCAAGGCGACGAUCCGUAACUGGUCUGGGAGGAUGAUCAGUCACACGGGAACUGAGACACGGACCAGACUCCUACGGGAGGCAGUAGUCGCGAAUAUUGGACAAUGGGCGAAAGCCUGGUCCAGCCAUGCCGCGUGUGUUAAGAAGGUCUUCGGAUUGUAAAGCUCGUGAUGUUGGGAGGAAGGGCAGUAAGUUGAUACCUUGCUGUAUUGACGUUACCAGGAGAAGAAGCACCGGCUAACUUCGUG
rnacentral:rRNA from 1 species